rnacentral:sRNA from 1 species
GUCUAGCCCAGAUUGAAGCGGCAUCCUUUUUGCUUUUUUAGCAAAAAGAUAUAGCAGAAAGCUGGAAAUAGC